UUACGAGAAAGGGGCGGAGCAGAGAUGGGGGGCCAUAAGGAGGGGUCAGGCGGGGUGGAGUUUUAGAGGGACCAUAGGGUCUUGCAAUAUGGUGUCGGAGUGAAGUUUGGAGGAGUGGAUCCAGCACAGGGAGAGCGGAGGUCAAGCUGGACCCAGGAGAGAAAGGAGACAGAUGUUAAUUGGAGAGGAAGGAUGGUCUUGUGGAUAAGACACCUGAUAAAGACUCAGGAGAGCUGCAUAUGUUUCUCCUUCCCAGAGGCUGGCGAAGAUUAGAAGGCGAAAAAAAUGC